CAUGCAAGUCGAACGGAAAGGCCCUUCGGGGUACUCGAGUGGCGAACGGGUGAGUAACACGUGGGUGAUCUGCCCUGCACUUUGGGAUAAGCCUGGGAAACUGGGCCUAAUACCGGAUAGGACUACGCGAUGCAUGUCGUGUGGUGGAAAGCUUUUGCGGUGUGGGAUGGGCCCGCGGCCUAUCAGCUUGUUGGUGAAGUUAUGGCUUACCAAGGCGACGACGGGUAGCCGGCCUGAGAGGGUGACCGACCACACUGGGACUGAGAUACGGCCCAGACUCCUACGGGAGGCAGCAGUGGGGAAUAUUGCACAAUGGGCGCAAGCCUGAUGCAGCGACGCCGCGUGAGGGAUGACGGCCUUCGGGAUGUAAACCUCUUUCAGUAGGGACGAAGCGCAAGCGACGGUACCUAUAGAAGAAGGACCGGCCAACUACGUGCCAGCAGCCGCGGUAAUACGUAGGGUCCGAGCGUUGUCCGGAAUUACUGGGCGUAAAGAGCUCGUAGGUGGUUUGUCGCGUUGUUCGUGAAAACUCACA
rnacentral:rRNA from 1 species